CCUUUGACGUUAGCGGCGGACGGGUGAGUAACACGUGGGUAACCUACCUAUAAGACUGGGAUAACUUCGGGAAACCGGAGCUAAUACCGGAUAAUAUUUCGAACCGCAUGGUUCGAUAGUGAAAGAUGGUUUUGCUAUCACUUAUAGAUGGACCCGCGCCGUAUUAGCUAGUUGGUAAGGUAACGGCUUACCAAGGCGACGAUACGUAGCCGACCUGAGAGGGUGAUCGGCCACACUGGAACUGAGACACGGUCCAGACUCCUACGGGAGGCAGCAGC
rnacentral:rRNA from 1 species